UAGUUUUAUUCUUGCUGGAGUACUCAUUUUUUGUAUAUUUUAUAUGUGAGUUUUUGCGUGUUUUUUUUGGUCUAGAUGAUUUUGUUAAUGGUUUUAUUUGCAUUAUUUAUUUUUAUACAUUAAGGUGACUUGGAUUUAGUGUUAUAUUUUAGUGUUGGUUAAAUUUGUGCCAGCAGCCGCGGUUAUACAUGGAGCGCUUUUGAGUAUGUUUGGUUGAUAGUUCUAAGGUUUAGGAGGUUGGAUUGAUUUUUUUUGUUAUGUGGUGGAAUCCUUAUUUUGGUUGUUUUCUGUUUUAUUGAUUUAUAGGCUAUGAAAUCUUAAUUGGAGACUAGGAUUAGAUACCCUAUUAUUUUAGAUGUUAAGGUUUGGCCUGAGUAGUAUUAGUUAUGAUCUUGAAACUUAAAGAAUUUGGCGGUAUCUCAUUCCUUUUAGAGGAAUCUGUCUCGUUAUCGAUAAUCCGCGUUGGACCUUGCUUAAUUUUUUUGGUUUGUAUACCGCCGUUAGUGGUGAGGAUCUUUUGAGAGUUAAAAUUUUCUUUAUUUUUUAUUUAGAAUUUAUUUUAGGUCAAGGUGCAGCUUUGAUUAAGUUGAUGAUGGAUUACGUUUAUUUUUGGUAUUUGGAUCAUUGGAUGUAAUUCUGGUGUGAAAUUGGAUUUGAUUGUAAUUUAUUGAAGGUUGUAUUAAUGAUUUUGGUUCUGGGGUAUGUACACAUCGCCCGUCGCUCUCAUUGUUUUGUGGAGGUGAGAUAAGUCGUAACAAAGUGGCUGUACCGGAAGGUG
rnacentral:ncRNA from 1 species